rnacentral:rRNA from 1 species
AAUAUUGGACAAUGGGGGCAACCCUGAUCCAGCCAUGCCGCGUGUGUGAAGAAGGCCUUUUGGUUGUAAAGCACUUUAAGCAGUGAAGAAGACUCUAGGGUUAAUACCCCUAGACGAUGACAUUAGCUGCAGAAUAAGCACCGGCUAACUCUGUGCCAGCAGCCGCGGUAAUACAGAGGGUGCAAGCGUUAAUCGGAAUUACUGGGCGUAAAGCGAGCGUAGGUGGCUUGAUAAGUCAGAUGUGAAAUCCCCGGGCUUAACCUGGGAACUGCAUCUGAUACUGUUGAGCUAGAGUAGGUGAGAGGGAAGUAGAAUUCCAGGUGUAGCGGUGAAAUGCGUAGAGAUCUGGAGGAAUACCGAUGGCGAAGGCAGCUUCCUGGCAUCAUACUGACACUGAGGCUCGAAAGCGUGGGUAGCAAACAGGAUUAGAUACCCUGGUAGUCCACGCCGUAAACGAUGUCUACUAGUCGUUGGGUCCCUUGAGGACUUAGUGACGCAGCUAACGCAA